rnacentral:rRNA from 1 species
GUAGGGAAUAUUGGUUAAUGGGCGAAAGCCUGACCCAGCAACGCCGCGUGAACGAUGAAGGCCUUCGGGUUGUAAAGUUCUUUUGACAGGGAUGAGGAAGGACAGUACCUGUCGAAUAAGUCUCGGCUAACUACGUGCCAGCAGCCGCGGUAACACGUAGGAGACGAGCGUUAUCCGGAUUUACUGGGUGUAAAGCGCGUGCAGGCGGUAUGGUAAGUUGGAUGUGAAAGCUCCUGGCUUAACUGGGAGAGGUCGUACAAGACUGCCAGACUAGAGGACAGCAGAGGGGAGUGGAAUUCCGAGUGUAGCGGUAAAAUGCAUAGAUAUUCGGAAGAACACCAGUGGCGAAGGCGGCUCUCUGGGCUGUACCUGACGCUCAGACGCGAAAGCUAGGGUAGCAAACGGGAUUAGAUACCCCGGUAGUCC